rnacentral:rRNA from 1 species
UACGGGGGGGGCAAGCGUUGUUCGGAAUUACUGGGCGUAAAGGGCUCGUAGGCGGCCAACUAAGUCAGACGUGAAAUCCCUCGGCUUAACCGGGGAACUGCGUCUGAUACUGGAUGGCUUGAGUUUGGGAGAGGGAUGCGGAAUUCCCAGUGUAGAGGUGAAAUUCGUAGAUAUUAGGGAAGAACACCGGGUGGCGAAGGCGGCCACU